rnacentral:rRNA from 1 species
GAUGAACGCUAGCUACAGGCUUAACACACGCAAGUCGAGGGGAAACGAUAUUGGAAGCUUGCUUCCGAUAGGCGUCGACCGGCGCACGGGUGAGUAACGCGUAUCCAACCUGCCCAUCACUUGGGGAUAACCUUGCGAAAGUAAGACUAAUACCCAAUGACGUCUCUAGAAGACAUCUGAAAGAGAUUAAAGAUUUAUCGGUGGUGGAUGGGGAUGCGUCUGAUUAGCUUGCUGGCGGGGUAACGGCCCACCAAGGCGACGAUCAGUAGGGGUUCUGAGAGGAAGGUCCCCCACAUUGGAACUGAGACACGGUCCAAACUCCUACGGGAGGCAGCAGUGAGGAAUAUUGGUCAAUGGGCGAGAGCCUGAACCAGCCAAGUAGCGUGCAGGAUGACGGCCCUAUGGGUUGUAAACUGCUUUUAUAAGGGAAUAAAGUGAGCCACGUGUGGCUUUUUGCAUGUACCUUAUGAAUAAGGACCGGCUAAUUCCGUGCCAGCAGCCGCAGUAA